rnacentral:rRNA from 1 species
CUAUAAUGCAGUCGUGCGGACCUUUUAAAGCUUGCUUUUAAAAGGUUAGCGGCGGACGGGUGAGUAACACGUGGGCAACCUGCCUGUAAGAUCGGGAUAACGCCGGGAAACCGGGGCUAAUACCGGAUAGUUUUUUCCUCCGCAUGGAGGAAAAAGGAAAGACGGCUUCUGCUGUCACUUACAGAUGGGCCCGCGGCGCAUUAUCUAGUUGGUGGGGUAACGGCUCACCAAGGCAACGAUGCGUAGCCGACCUGAGAGGGUGAUCGGCCACAUUGGGACUGAGACACGGCCCAAACUCCUACGGGAGGCAGCAGUAGGGAAUCUUCCGCAAUGGACGAAAGUCUGACGGAGCAACGCCGCGUGAGUGAAGAAGGCCUUCGGGUCGUAAAACUCUGUUGCCGGGGAAGAACAAGUGCCGUUCGAACAGGGCGGCGCCUUGACGGUACCCGGCCAGAAAGCCACGGCUAACUACGUGCCAGCAGCCGCGGUAAUACGUAGGUGGCAAGCGUUGUCCGGAAUUAUUGGGCGUAAAGCGCGCGCAGGCGGCUUCUUAAGUCUGAUGUGAAAUCUUGCGGCUCAACCGCAAGCGGUCAUUGGAAACUGGGAGGCUUGAGUGCACAAGAGGAGAGUGGAAUUCCACGUGUAGCGGUGAAAUGCGUAGAGAUGUGGAGGAACACCAGUGGCGAAGGCGGCUCUCUCGUCUGUAACUGACGCUGAGGCGCGAAAGCGUGGGGAGCAAACAGGAUUAGAUACCCUGGUAGUCCACGCCGUAAACGAUGAGUGCUAA